rnacentral:misc_RNA from 1 species
GCCGAGACAACAUUUGCAAGGUAAUUAUUGUUUCGUUAAAUUAGUGGCAUUGUGUUUGUGAAAGAGUAGACCUUAAAAAGGUGUGCAAUUGUCAAAUAAAUGUAAAUUUUUUUUGUUGUUGUUGUUGUGGGGUGUUGGCAUAAUGUAUAGGCGGAUCUUGAGGAAGUGAGUGCAUUGUAUUUGGAUGCUAAGUCUUCAGCGAAGCUACUUCAGGAGCAGCAAGAAAAGUACAUUUCAUGAUAGCAUUGGCUGAUUUUUCUGGAUGUUUUGUGGAUGGACGGAGGCAGUUGUGGAGGCAAAUGAAUUACAUUAGAAACAGUUCAAGAGAUGGAUAUGCUGCAUAGGAUAUUUGUUCUGGGCCAUUAAUCUUACCUAGUUUUAGAAUUAGAAAAGCUCCAAGUCAAAGGAGUUUGUCACAUUCCAUUGGAUGGUUUGGUGUGGAUAAAAUAUAAGUUGCUCAAUUUCGUUAACAAACUGUGCUGAAUUGUCCACAGAAUAACUUAAAUUAUUCCAGGUCAAGUGGAAUGCAAUUUAUCUUUUUAUUUCAAAGAGUUCAUUUGAAACACUAUGAAAAUAAGAAUUGGCCAUUGAUGUUUGAGAAUAUGAGUGAACGAUUUUCUUUUUUUGUCUAAAA